UACGGGGGGUGCAAGCGUUGUUCGGAAUUACUGGGCGUAAAGGGCUUGUAGGUGGCCAACUAAGUCAGACGUGAAAUCCCUCGGCUUAACCGGGGAACUGCGUCUGAUACUGGAUGGCUUGAGUUUGGGAGAGGGACGCGGAAUUCCAGGUGUAGCGGUGAAAUGCGUAGAUAUCUGGAGGAACACCGGUGGCGAAGGCGGCGUCCUGGACCAACACUGACACUGAAAAGCGAAAGCCAGGGGAGCAAACGGG
rnacentral:rRNA from 1 species